ACCACAAGCUGAAAUUGUUAUGACUUUUGCAGCAGUGCUGCCAGCAGCAGAUCACUGUUUAAAAUCCCACUGAUAAGGUCUUGCUGAUCUGAUUUUUAAGGCACAUGCGUAGUGAUGGCUCACCCUGAGAAUGUCCUUUGGGAAUGACCCUUUCUAACUUGGGAAGAAACUGCUUGCCUCUGGACCACUUGCCUCAUCCAAGAAGGACGUUGCCUUCACAGCAGAACUGCUGAAGGACAGACCAGAGCAGCUGUUUCCCUGCAAGGUGCAUGAGGUGUCCUAGCUCCAAGGUUGCCAAAGGGAGCAAAUUCAACUGCUGUGGAAAAUUCCUCCACCUUCUGGCCUGGAGAUGGUGCUGUGUGUCCCUGCUUCCGUGGCAUCUCCCUCUGCCUUUCCUUCAGUGCUACACCCGUGACCAUCCCUCUGCUUUUCUACAUCUCAAGAUGCAGGAACUGAGGAGGAAUGUGCUAAAAGAUCUACCUUUGCCGUGUACACGGGAGCUCAGUUUGUACCAAGUCCCAGCUAAUUCCAAACUGGCUUCUCUACAAACUGACUUCUUAAGGUAGAAGAGGCCCUGCCAGAAGUAUUUUCCUUCUAAAAACAGGAGUGAAGUGUUACAAGGACCACUCUGGCUGCACCUCUUGAGACUGAAAAUGAAGUCUCAGGCUGGCAGUUGGACUCCUGAAAUGGGGCUACAUGGCAUUUGUGCAUCUACUUUCUACAGAGACACAUGAAAACCUUGUUGAAAAGCCUGCAUUUACUAUCAAAGGAAGAAAGAGAUGCAGGUGUAGAUUUGAAAUCAGUAUCAAAAUUACUACUGACUUGAGUCAUUUUCGAGUUUUAUCUUCUUAGAAAUUGUCUGUCACUAAUAAACUUGAUAAUGGGAGGAAGACCA
rnacentral:lncRNA from 1 species